UACGGAGGAUCCAAGCGUUAUCCGGAUUUAUUGGGUUUAAAGGGUGCGUAGGCGGGUAAUCAAGUCAGCGGUGAAAGUUUGCGGCUCAACCGUAAAAUUGCCGUUGAAACUGGUUACCUUGAGUGUAGAUGAGGUGGGUGGAAUUCGUGGUGUAGCGGUGAAAUGCUUAGAUAUCACGAAGAACUCCAAUUGCGUAGGCAGCUCACUGGGCUACAACUGACGCUGAGGCACGAAGGUGCGGGGAUCAAACAGGAUUAGAUACCCUGGUAGUCCGCACAGUAAACGAUGAAUGCUAGCUGUUGGCGAUACACAGUCAGUGGCACAGCGAAAGCGUUAAGCAUUCCACCUGGGGAGUACGCCGGCAACGGUGAA
rnacentral:rRNA from 1 species